rnacentral:rRNA from 1 species
AUUUGAGAGGAUUUGACCCUAGUACGAGAGGACCGGGUUGAACGUACCUCUGGUGUACCGGUUGUUCUACCAAGAGCAUGGCCGGGUAGCUACGUACGGAACAGAUAAGCGCUGAAAGCAUAUUAAGCGCGAAACUGACUUCAAGAUUAGGUUUCCCUAUGAGAUCCCUGAAAGACUAUCAGGUUGAUAGGCGCAAGGUGUAAGCAUGGCAACGUGUAUAGCUGAAGCGUACUAAUAGAUCCAUCGACUUUUUAUG